rnacentral:tRNA from 1 species
AGCUCCGAGGUGUCAGCAUAUCAGAUUGCAAAUCUGAAGGGGUAGGCUACCGCCUACCGGGGCUU